rnacentral:misc_RNA from 1 species
AAGUCGUAACAAGGUUUCCGUAGGUGAACCUGCGGAAGGAUCAUUAUCAACGUAUCCACGUUUAUAAACCAAUUCGUGAACUGUUUUCUUAACCUUUGGGCUAUGGCCGCUGUCUUUGACACAUAGAGUUCAUUGUAUGGUUAUGGACUCGUCAUUGGCAAUUAAGGCUGUCUCUCCGAAGCGUAUUUAAUCAUACUUUUUAUUUACCACUUGAACACAAAAAAUUAUUACUUUGUUUGAACUGAUUUGUUUCUUACUCAGCCGUCAAUGGCCGAGAAGAAAUCGAUUUACGAAACAAAAAAGAACAACUCUUAGCAACGGAUAUCUUGGUUCUCGUAAUGAUGAAGAACGCAGC